GGGUGCUAGUGAAGUGAGGAGGGGUGAUGAUUUAUGCACCGCAGAGUGGAGGGACUACAACUGGACAACAGGAAAAUGGUGAAUUCCCUUUCAGUCAGCAUCAAGGACUGCAACCAUUAAUUUUAAAACCAAGGAAUACGACGCUGAUUAUUUCGUCAGCACGGAAUGUUCUGUUCAUUGUUACCAAUUAUUUUGUCAGGAUCGCUGAAGUUGCCUGAGCAAAACUCCACAUGAAGAGAAAUCUAGCCUUGAGCUGCAUGCCUACUAGUACGCCCAUGUUGCUGCAAAUCAUAACAGUUCCAUUUGCUGUGCACUGUGACUGAUAGGUUGAUAUGAUGACCAUUUGGGGGAGAUCUUAAAGAUAACACUUCACUGCAGCGUGCUACUGGAACUUUAUUUUUCCCCUGCUGUGAGUAUAAUUCUGAACACAUUGUAUCUAUCGACAAGAGAGGAUGGGAUGCAUGUCACAUUUCACGGCGGGUGAAUAAACUACCUUGUCGUCGUCAAGAUCAAUUCUUGGGCGGAUAAUUGAUAAUGUUGUUUUCUUGGGACAAUGUCACUUUCAGGUUGAAAUAAAAUCGGAACAAUGGCUGUGAAGAGCAGGCAGGCAGGAGACGGUUUCGUCGUUACAAGGGAGGGGAUGGAUAUGACAAAGGGGAGAUCCGGGAGAAGAGACAAACUUG
rnacentral:lncRNA from 1 species